UCCCUGAUGGUCCAGUGGUUAGGAUCCGGCCCUUUCACUGCCGUGGCCCGGGUUCAAACCCUGGUCGGGGAA